rnacentral:rRNA from 1 species
GACGAACGCUGGCGGCGUGCUUAACACAUGCAAGUCGAACGGAAAGGCCUCUUUCGGGGGGUACUCGAGUGGCGAACGGGUGAGUAACACGUGAGUAACCUGCCCUUGACUUUGGGAUAACUUCAGGAAACUGGGGCUAAUACCGGAUAGGAGCUCCUGCUGCAUGGUGGGGGUUGGAAAGUUUCGGCGGUUGGGGAUGGACUCGCGGCUUAUCAGCUUGUUGGUGGGGUAGUGGCUUACCAAGGCUUUGACGGGUAGCCGGCCUGAGAGGGUGACCGGCCACAUUGGGACUGAGAUACGACCCAGACUCCUACGGGAGGCAGCAGUGGGGAAUAUUGCACAAUGGGUGGAAGCCUGAUGCAGCAACGCCGUGUGCGGGAUGACGGACUUCGGGUUGUAAACCGCUUUCGCUCAUGACGAAGCUUUGUGUGACGGUAGUGGGUAAAGAAGCACCGGCUAACUACGUG